UAACACCCACUGGAGGUCCGAACCAGUGCCCGUUGAAAAGGUCUUGGAUGACGUGUGGCUAGGGGUGAAAGGCCAAUCAAACUCGGAAAUAGCUGGUUCUCCGCGAAAGCUAUUUAGGUAGCGCCUCGAGUGAAUACCGUGCGGGGUAGAGCACUGGAUGGGCUAGGGCCGCCCACAGCGGUACCAAACCCAACCAAACUCCGAAUACGCACGAGU
rnacentral:rRNA from 1 species